rnacentral:rRNA from 1 species
AUUGAACGCUGGCGGCAGGCCUAACACAUGCAAGUCGAACGGUAACAGGAAACAGCUUGCUGUUUCGCUGACGAGUGGCGGACGGGUGAGUAAUGUCUGGGGAACUGCCUGAUGGAGGGGGAUAACUACUGGAAACGGUAGCUAAUACCGCAUAACGUCGCAAGACCAAAGAGGGGGACCUUCGGGCCUCUUGCCAUCGGAUGUGCCCAGAUGGGAUUAGCUAGUAGGUGGGGUAACGGCUCACCUAGGCGACGAUCCCUAGCUGGUCUGAGAGGAUGACCAGCCACACUGGAACUGAGACACGGUCCAGACUCCUACGGGAGGCAGCAGUGGGGAAUAUUGCACAAUGGGCGCAAGCCUGAUGCAGCCAUGCCGCGUGUAUGAAGAAGGCCUUCGGGUUGUAAAGUACUUUCAGCGGGGAGGAAGGGAGUAAAGUUAAUACCUUUGCUCAUCGACGUUACCCGCAGAAGAAGCACCGGCUAACUCCGUGCCAGCAGCCGCGGUAA